rfam:Trichomonas vaginalis G3, whole genome shotgun sequence.
CCGAAGUUUCCCUCAGGAUAGCUGUAAUGCAUUUAGUUAAGGGGAGUAGAGAUAUGGGUAGAGGUGCAGGGAGCCUUCGGGUUCUCAACUUAUUUCCAAACUUCGAACCUCCUUGUUAGGCAUUUACCUAACUGGAAAUGCUUAAAUGAAUUAGCGUUACAAGUGGGCUCUGACCGGUAAGCGGUCAUGGCGAAAUGGGAUGAACCAUACGUCUGAAUAAGGUGCCGAAAUGUACUAUCACUGAUACCAUAAAGGGAGUCCAUGUAUUUAGACAGCAGGUCGGUGCCCCUAAAAGCAGGUAUCCGCUAAAGAGUGUGUUAAAACUCACCUGCCGAAUACUAGGGCCCCGAAAAUGAAUGGCGCAUAUAGUACUACCGAUCUCAGACAUCAGUUCUAUUGAACUGAGAGUAGGGGGAUGUGGACAUUUUUGUGAAGGUGCAAUGUGAGUUGGACUGGAAGAAUGUCUAUUACAGAUCCUAAUUGAAGUAGCGAUUAUCCAGGCUUGUAUCCUGGGGGCUGAUGAGGAGUAGGGUUUCUGGACAACUUAAACAGAUCCAGAGUUAGUCGAUCCUAAUCUCAAUAAUGGGAGAAAGGGAGUACAGUUGAUAUUCUGUAACUGACAACAGUUCGCGGCAACGCAUACUAUUUUUCUCCGCCAAUCUUAUACCGUUGGUAGGGAUCUCUUUCCUACAUGACAGUACUAAUACCCAGGGAAACUGGUCAUCAGGCGAACUGCGGCGUUCUGCUGGCAAAACAUAGCUUCGGUUAUGUCAAUGGCUAUUGGAUUGGUCCAUGAAGCGAAAAAUAGUUUACUGUGUCACUCGUACCGAUAACCGCAUCAGGUCUUCUAGGUAAGUAGCCUAUGGCCAUUGAGGCAUGAUAGUUCAGGGAAUUCGGCCAAUUAGAGCUGUAACUUCGGGAUAAAGCUUGGCUCUGAUGAAAAUCAAAACCGAUUGUUACGCGGAGAGCCCAACUGUUUAAUAAAAACGUAGUGUCGCGCUGUGGUAGUAUAGCCAGUGAACGCGACAUGAAUCCUGCUCAGUGCUGUGUCUGUUAAUAUGGUUCAAGCCAACGAAGCACCGGUAAAUAGCUGGGGUAACUAUGACUCUUAUCAAAGUAGCGAAAUACCUCGUCACUUAAUUAGUGACCUGCAUGAACGGAGCUAUGAGGUUCUCACUGUCCCAAACUGUCUCUCAGCGAACCAACUGUAGUGGGAACGGUCACUAGAUAUCCAGCGGGGAAAGAAGACCCUGUAGAGCUUCACUUUGGUCUAGUCUUGUAUAGUUCCUGCGGGGGUGUAGACUAGGUGGGAGAGCAAUCGAUUCUGAAAAACCACUACCCUGUUUGGAAUUAUGCUUACCUAUCACAAGGAAUAGGACUAGAUAGAAAGUUUGGCUGGGGCGGCACACCUUCGAAUGAGCAGCGAAGGUGUCCUAAGUUGAGCUCAUUGAGGACAGAAAUCUCACGUUGAGGAUAAGGCCAAAAGCUCAU